GAUGAACGCUGGCGGCGUGCCUAAUACAUGCAAGUCGAGCGAACAGACGAGGAGCUUGCUCCUCUGACGUUAGCGGCAGACGGGUGAGUAACACGUGGAUAACCUACCUAUAAGACUGGGAUAACUUCGGGAAACCGGAGCUAAUACCGGAUAAUAUAUUGAACCGCAUGGUUCAAUAGUGAAAGACGGUUUUGCUGUCACUUAUAGAUGGAUCCGCGCCGCAUUAGCUAGUUGGUAAGGUAACGGCUUACCAAGGCAACGAUGCGUAGCCGACCUGAGAGGGUGAUCGGCCACACUGGAACUGAGACACGGUCCAGACUCCUACGGGAGGCAGCAGUAGGGAAUCUUCCGCAGUGGGCGAAAGCCUGACGGAGCAACGCCGCGUGAGUGAUGAAGGUCUUCGGAUCGUAAAACUCUGUUAUUAGGGAAGAACAAAUGUGUAAGUAACUAUGCACGUCUUGACGGUACCUAAUCAGAAAGCCACGGCUAACUACGU
rnacentral:rRNA from 1 species